GUCUAUGGCCAUGCUACCUUGAACAAGCCUGAUCUCGUCUGAUCUUGGAAGUUAAGCAGGGGCGGGCCUGGAUGGGAGACCACCUAGGAAGACCAGACGCUUUAAGUG
rnacentral:rRNA from 1 species